rnacentral:rRNA from 1 species
GGCCGCCGGAAUUCGAUUAGAGUUUGAUCCUGGCUCAGAACGAACGCUGCCGGCAUGCCUAACACAUGCAAGUCGAACGAACCCUUCGGGGUUAGUGGCGCACGGGUGCGUAACGCGUGGGAAUCUGCCCUUGGCUUCGGAAUAACAGUUAGAAAUGACUGCUAAUACCGGAUGAUGUCUUCGGACCAAAGAUUUAUCGGCCAGGGAUGAGCCCGCGUAGGAUUAGGUAGUUGGUGGGGUAAAGGCCUACCAAGCCGACGAUCCUUAGCUGGUCUGAGAGGAUGAUCAGCCACACUGGGACUGAGACACGGCCCAGACUCCUACGGGAGGCAGCAGUGGGGAAUAUUGGACAAUGGGCGCAAGCCUGAUCCAGCAAUGCCGCGUGAGUGAUGAAGGCCUUAGGGUCGUAAAGCUCUUUUACCCGGGAUGAUAAUGACAGUACCGGGAGAAUAAGCUCCGGCUAACUCCGUGCCAGCAGCCGCGGUAAUACGAAUCACUAGUGAAUUCGCGGCCGCCUGCAGGUCGACCAUAUGG